rnacentral:rRNA from 1 species
GACGAGCGCUGGCGGCGUGCUUAACACAUGCAAGUCGAACGGAAAGGCCCUGCUUUUGUGGGGUGCUCGAGUGGCGAACGGGUGAGUAACACGUGAGUAACCUGCCCUUGACUUUGGGAUAACUUCAGGAAACUGGGGCUAAUACCGGAUAGGAGCUCCUGCUGCAUGGUGGGGGUUGGAAAGUUCCGGCGGUUGGGGAUGGACUCGCGGCUUAUCAGCUUGUUGGUGGGGUAGUGGCUUACCAAGGCUUUGACGGGUAGCCGGCCUGAGAGGGUGACCGGCCACAUUGGGACUGAGAUACGGCCCAGACUCCUACGGGAGGCAGCAGUGGGGAAUAUUGCACAAUGGGCGGAAGCCUGAUGCAGCAACGCCGCGUUCGGGAUGACGGCCUUCGGGUUGUAAACCGCUUUCGCCUGUGACGAAGCGUGAGUGACGGUAAUGGGUAAAGAAGCACCGGCUAACUACGUG